CCUAAUGCUAAGUCUCAAUCAAAAAAGAAAAGAAAAAGAUGAGGUGUUGCAAUGUGCAUCGAAUGCCUAAAAGAGUAAUCUAAACACAAGAUAAAUUGGGAGAUUCGUUUCAGCGGUAGGAAACCUACUGAAAUUGGGAACUUGAGGCUGCUUUGAGUUUUUCUCUUUUGAAGAACAAUGGAGCAUCACGAUAGCGAUUCCCUCGCUCGCCACAGUCACAGUCGGCAGUGGCGGCGACGAGGAGGAUACUAGCGGUGGGGAAUCUGGGGAAUCCGAGGAGUGAGCCGGCGGUUUUUUUAUCUAUGCAAUUUUUUAUAAUUACUAUGUACGGUUUUUUUAUAAUUAUGUAUCUUUUUUUAAUAAAGUGGUUGUAAGAUCUCCGUAUUUGCGUCGAAUUUUUAAUUCCAUAAAUUGUUUAAGUCCGUAAA